GCUGGCGGUAGGCUUACACAUGCAAGUCGUGCGAGAAAGUAUCUUCGGAUAUGAGUAGAGCGGCGGACGGGUGAGUAACGCGUAGGAAUCUACCUAGUAGAAGGGGAUAGCCCGAGGAAACUCGGAUUAAUACCGUAUACCUCCUUAGGGAGAAAGAGGGCCUCUCUUGAAGCUUUCGCUAUUAGAUGAGCCUGCGUAAGAUUAGCUUGUUGGUGAGGUAAUGGCUCACCAAGGCUACGAUCUUUAGCUGGUCUGAGAGGACGAUCA
rnacentral:rRNA from 1 species